CGUAGGGACCAAGCGUUGUUCGGAUUUACUGGGCGUAAAGGGCGCGUAGGCGGCUUGACAAGUCACUUGUGAAAUCUCCGGGCUUAACUCGGAACGGCCAAGUGAAACUGUCAUGCUAGAGUGCAGAAGGGGCAAUCGGAAUUCUUGGUGUAGCGGUGAAAUGCGUAGAUAUCAAGAGGAACACCUGAGGUGAAGACGGGUUGCUGGGCUGACACUGACGCUGAGGCGCGAAAGCCAGGGGAGCAAACGGGAUUAGAUACCCCGGUAGUCCUGGCCCUAAACGAUGAAUACUUGGUGUCUGGAGUUUUUAGUGCUCCGGGUGCCGUCGCUAACGUUUUUAGUAUUCCGCCUGGGGAGUACGCUCGCAAGAGUG
rnacentral:rRNA from 1 species